GGACUGAACAUCUGAAGAAUGAAGGGAGCAGCCAAAACCCACCAGAAGAGAAUGGACUGAAUGAUCGGAGAGUCUCCCAGAAAACUGUCUGGUAAACAAUUUUCAAGUGAGAAGGCAAAAUGCACCUUAAGAAGCCUGGGCACUGAGUUUGGUGAUAGAGACUGUUACAUCCCAGGCUUCCCUGCAGCCCCCUGUGGCAUGGUAAGCUUACUGGGGUAGGUGCUCUUUCUAUUCUGAAUUGCUGUUGACAGAGUACAAAAGAAAUAGAUCUAACAUUUUAUCUGAAAUCCUUUAUGUAAAUAUAGGUCACCAAUUCUUAAUAUGAAAUAGUAUGUAUAUUCGCAGUAUAUUUAUGUAUCCAUCACUACACUAACACCAUUCUCAUUAUUUUACUUUGUGUAAAAUCUUACUAUUUUAACUUCGUGUAGGAAGAGGCAAGCUGAAAGUAGGUCUCAAUUCCUAAUUCCUUCUGCAGAAGUACACGUCAGCAGCUGGAGCUACUUUACAUAGGAUUUAAACAACAGUAAACAAAAACAGAUUAGAAAGGCUGCUAAAGCCUCAACCACAAUGGGAACUCAGUUUAGCCUCAGUUUUACAAUCUGCCUACCACUGUCUAAGCUUUCAGAAGACCCGAAGGGGAAGGAUUUGGGAUUGAAAAACUGGCUAACUGCAACGCCUGAAGAAUCUGAAGAUUUCACAGUCACGGGGAAGUAUAAUCCUUAAUCUGUAAAUGAAGAAAUACCAUCCCAAAAUUCACUGCGAAUUGAAUACAGCUUUCAGGGAGUAGGGCCUCCUUCUUGCCAGCAUUGUUCACAGUUUAAAUAACAACUUGCUUGCAGGUGCUUAAUGAAGAGUUUAAGUCACUCAGAACAGAGGCAUCCACUAGACCCAGAACAGGACCAACAUACUAGGCUGUGGCUGCUCAGGCCAUUUGCUAUUUUUGUUUCUUUUCCAGUAUGCUCUGAUCAGCAGCACGAACCACAAAUAGUGCCCAGCAAUUGGCGAGCAGCAGAUGCCCGAAUCCCAUGUUUUUCAUCUCAGUUCAAUAUCCUUGACUCAUGCAUCCUGUCUACGCUAAUGUUAGUUUCCUGAUUGCAGUGUGUCUGCAGCUUUGGAGUGUCAACAAGUGCCUGAGCCAUCCCAGAAAGCUCGCUCCUCCUCUCUGGUCUUCAGUUUUGCUUGGUUUUAAUGACUCUCUCUCAAAGCUACCUUGUUUUGCCAAUUUACAUCUGGAAUCUUUGGAUUUACACUGGAAUUGCAGUACACUUUCUCCUUUAAUUUUAAAAUAAUUAUUUUGAUAGUCUAGAAUAUUCUGCUUUGACAUGUCAGAAGAAUAUGAGCUACUAACCACUAACAGUUACACUUACCUGCUAUAUUAAUUACACUACAUUCUCAUACAUACAUAUUACAACAUUCUCCCACUUGAAUGAAACACCCCAAACAGGAAGAUCUGACCUAGAAUAGACCAUUGCUUGUUUGGGAGGUGCUUGUGUCUUUGUUUUCCAGAUAAUCUGAAAUUCUCCUGUCCCAAUUGCUGUCACGUUCUAGAUAGUGUAGCAGUGACUUCCGAUUGCUUAAGACCAUUUAUGAUUUGCAUUUUUCUUGCAAACUCAUUAACAGCAUUGACUAGGGAUACAAAAUAGUUGUCUUUUUCUUCUCCUUUUAAAGUAUACAGCUAAUACAAAACUCAAAUUAGGAUCACUACUACUUAUAAAACAAAAACCAAAAACCGUACCACAGCAACAGGCAAAGUAAAAGUACAUGACAAAAAUGGACAAAUGCGUUAUUAAACUACUCAUCAGAACUUUAGAUGCAUUCCCUUCCACCUUCAGCUAUUUACUAUAGAGACCUUUUCCUUACCAUUAUUUCAAAUAUUUGCCCCCAAACCUUUUGACGCAGCACUAUUCUCACCCGCAUUUUACAAAAGAAGGAACCAACAAGUUCCAUGCAGCCAAGACUCCCGACUCCCAGCACGACGCUUUGACCACAACACCACUUUCUGCUCUGGAUCCUUUUGAUGUUUUCUUUCAGUAAGCUUAUGUGGAACUAUGAACCUAAAGUUGCAAUUAUGCUCAAAGGUUUUUAAACAAAU
ensembl:lncRNA